AUUCCUGAGUCACUCAGUGUCAAGUUGUGCAUGCAGGUAGCUCUGAACCCUCUCUGUGCUUUUCACAAACCAUUCUCUGAUGGGAUUGCUGGCAGUGGGACCCUUGAGUCUCAUUGCAGAGGGCAGGAUGCAGAGUAUGGGGGAGGUGAGGUCAUUUUAUCCCACAGCAUCUUGUGGGGGCUGGAUCUCCUCAGAAGUGGCUCAGUGGCGGUUUCUGACCCUGCCCUGUGUUCUGCUGACUGUGGUUGGGUUGCUCCCUGCAUGCCCAAGUGUGAAAAACGCCAAUCCCUCGUGUUAAAGUUUUAAAAGUUUAACAGUAAUCAAAUAGUUCUAAAAAGAGUAAUAAAAAUUAGAGCAAUAAGAAUUUGGACAAUCAGAGUUAGGACAAUAAAGGGACAAUAAAAAAGCAAAGAAUUAAGGACAUCCAGGCAUUCUGCUCUGCCACAGAACAGGUUUUGCUAACAAAGGAUUAAUCCUUAAAAGCAAUAUCCUGUUGCAUAUUCAUAUAUCUCAUACACAAUGCAAACAUUCCUUUCAAACUAGGGAUUUUUCUGUUUAUUGUCAACUUCCCCCCCUCAUCUUGUAAUCAGUCAUCUCAGUCCUCAUGAAGUCUGAUUCUUCCUGAUAAAGGGGCAGUAAUUCUUCUCUUGGGAUUUUGGGUGUCCUGUUGCUGUUAUCUCUGUGUAAAUCAUUUCUUGAUUUUCUUGUUCAUUUCUUGAGCUAGUUAGAAAAAAUAUCUUACAUCACGUAGUUUCUAUUUUAAUAUGAUGUUCUAGCCUAAAACUACAUUUAACACACUACUUAAAAAGGAUUAAUACAGUACUACAAAACAACUUCCCAACAUAACACCUAUUAUAUUCAUUUUAGUAUUUGCAAACAGUCUAUCGUAUAAUGUGCAUUUUCACACCAAGUGAGCUGAGGUGAGCUGCAGUGCAGAAGGAAUCUCAUGCCCAGGUGUCUCCCCGAGCCCUGAUCCCUCUCUUUGUGUUGCAGUCCUUUCUCCAUGUCACCAGCCAUAGGAAUUCUGGACGCUGGUGACACCAUGCAGGUGACAGUGGGAUUUCACCCGCUGACCACGGGUGACCACUGCGGGUCCCUGGCAGUGUGCUGCAGCACAGGUGAAGAAAAUAUCCACACAAACCUCCACGGAGAUGCUGUAGAAGUCAAUGCUGGGUUGAGCACAAAUUCCGUGGAGCUUGAGAAGACUUUCAUCACCAUGUCAAGCCACAAAACCAUGUUCAUUGAAAACAGGAGUAACAUCACAGCCCACUUGCAGUGGAAGGCUUUUCCUACUGAGAAAGGAGAGAUUGAAGAGAAGAGGAGGUUGGUGUGAAAGAUGCAUUUCAGUGCGAUCCAUGGCCCAAGACUGAAACUGAUGUGUGGCCUGAGGGGGGUGUUGGUGCUUCUGAAUGGUUUAGGCCAAGUAAACCAUGCCUGGCACUGGGGUGUGUGUCCCUGGGCUUCAGGAGCUCAGCACUUGACAUUCCAGUUCCAUUGAUACUCCAACCAAAGGAUGGCAUUUUGGGAAGGGAAGAUUGGUUGCGAUGACUGGAUUUCUUUAAGUUCUAA